rnacentral:rRNA from 4 species
AAAAUGACUCUCGGCAACGGAUAUCUCGGCUCUUGCAUCGAUGAAGAACGUAGCGAAAUGCGAUACUUGGUGUGAAUUGCAGAAUCCCGUGAACCAUCGAGUCUUUGAACGCAAGUUGCGCCCGAAGCCAUUAGGUUGAGGGCACGCCUGCCUGGGUGUCACAC